UCUCGAACUUCGUCAUGCCAAUGGGGUUCCACACCUGCAUGCACUGCACACGGCUGCCAUUCUGGACGGAGCUCAAGCUCUGGGCCUUGCUGGAGAACAAGGUGGAACUCUUGAGGCCGGAGAAGGCCUUCACGGAGGUCGACUCGGAGGUCGACACAGCCGAGGACGAAGCUGCGAAGGCAGCGGGGGCCACGACGGUGGAGGUGGCGACAACGGAAGCCAUUGCAAGCGCUUGGGGUACAAGCGCGGUACUACUGAAACGCUGGAUGGAGGGCAGGAAGACAAAUUGACUGUGGGAUGAGGGAAUGAUGCGGCGCAGGGAGAAUUUUGUAGCAGCAGCGAUGAGGUGCGG
rnacentral:lncRNA from 1 species